rnacentral:rRNA from 1 species
UACGUAGGGUGCGAGCGUUAAUCGGAAUUACUGGGCGUAAAGCGUGCGUAGGCGGUCCCGCAAGUCCGCUGUGAAAGCCCCGGGCUUAACCUGGGAAUUGCAGUGGAAACUAUGGGACUUGAAUCCGGCAGAGGGGGGUGGAAUGCCACGUGUAGCAGUGAAAUGCGUAGAGAUGUGGCGGAACACCGAUGGCGAAGGCAGCCCCCUGGGCUAACACUGACGCUCAUGCACGAAAGCGUGGGGAGCAAACAGG